rnacentral:rRNA from 1 species
UACGUAGGGUGCGAGCGUUAAUCGGAAUUACUGGGCGUAAAGCGUGCGCAGGCGGUUUUGUAAGACAGAUGUGAAAUCCCCGGGCUUAACCUGGGAACUGCGUUUGUGACUGCAUAACUAGAGUACGGCAGAGGGAGGUGGAAUUCCACGUGUAGCAGUGAAAUGCGUAGAGAUGUGGAGGAACACCGAUGGCGAAGGCAGCCUCCUGGGCCAGUACUGACGCUCAUGCACGAAAGCGUGGGGAGCAAACAGG